AUAUUGGACAAUGGGCGAAAGCCUGAUCCAGCCAUGCCGCGUGUGUGAAGAAUGUCUUCGUAUUGUAAAGCACUUUAUGUUGGGAGGAAGGGCAGUAAGUUCAUACCUUCCUGUUUUGACGUUACCGACAGAAUAAGCACUGGCUAACUUCGUACCAGCAGCCGCGGUAAUACGAAUGUUCCAAGCGUUAAUCGGAAUUACUGAGCGUAAAGCGCGCGUAGGUGGUUCGUUAAGUUGGAAGUGAAAGCCCCGGGCUUAACCUGGGAAUUGCUUUCAAAACUGACGAGCUAGAGUACGGUAGAGGGUAGUGGAAUUUCCUGUGUAGCGGUGAAAUGCGUAGAUAUAGGAAGGAACAUCAGUGGCGAAGGCGACUACCUGGACUGAUACUGACACUGAGGUGCGAAAGCGUGGGGAGCAAACAGG
rnacentral:rRNA from 1 species